rnacentral:rRNA from 1 species
CCUACGGGGGGCUGCAGUGAGGAAUAUUGGGCAAUGGGCGGAAGCCUGACCCAGCAACGCCGCGUGGAGGAAGACGGCCUUCGGGUUGUAAACUCCUUUUACGGGGGAAGAGGAAGGACGGUACCCCGAGAAUAAGUCACGGCUAACUACGUGCCAGCAGCCGCGGUAAUACGUAGGUGACAAGCGUUAUCCGGAAUUACUGGGCGUAAAGCGCACGCAGGCGGCGCAUUAAGUCUGACGUGAAAUCUCCCGGCUUAACUGGGAGGGGUCGUUGGAAACUGAUGUGCUUGAGGCGGUGAGAGGGGUGUAGAAUUCCCGGUGUAGUGGUGGAAUGCGUAGAUAUCGGGAGGAAUACCAGUGGCGAAAGCGGCACCCUGGCACUAGCCUGACGCUCAUGUGCGAAAGCGUGGGGAGCGAACGGGAUUAGAUACCCCAGUAGUC